rnacentral:lncRNA from 1 species
AUGAGAGCGCCACACAGGGGCCGGACACGUCCUCUUGAGCGCACAGGGGCCCCUCCCGUCCGCACACUGGCAGCGAUACGACUGCAGGUCCACUGGGACACAGGGGUUGGUAGCGGCUGCAUCACAGUGUUUGCCGGCCCAUCCCGGCUGACAGUGGCACACGGGCCCGGACGGGCCCGGCGGCGGCGUCCGGCUGACACAGUCCGUUCACGCAGCGCAGCUCCUGACAGGCCCGGCAGCCCGGCACCACUCCCGGCUUCAUCUGCGUGUGCGUGAAGUCCUGCAGUUCAUUAUUGAUGUAGAGGUUUCGGAUGCAGCCUUGAAAACUGGAGCCGUUGAGAGGCGGCCACUGGUUGAAAGACAGCGACUGGGCGUUUUCAGGCAUACCUGAUGAGAAAAACACACAUUUAGAGAUAGAUGCAGACAAGUAGAAUCAUUAUUCACGAUUAUGGGCGAAGAUCUUACCCCCGACGUAUAGUGGGGCGUCUCUGGUGAGGGUCUGGACGUGUCCCGAGCUGUCCAGAGUCAUAGGAAGCCCUCCGUCCACAGAAAGGUUGACCAUCCGCUCAUAAGUCAGCAGCUCGAGGGUGUGAAAGCGUCCGUCGUUCACUAUUUCAGAACUGAGGAAACCGGCAGUGAAUCAGAGCAGGUUCAGGUACAUGUUAAACGACGAGCGGGAUCUUUGAUGUACCUGUAAAUGGUGCUGCCCGGCGGAUCUCCUGCGUCGUAGGUCACUUUGACACGGCCGGCGUGUAACUCUACAGCGAUGUGGUCAUUGACGCCGUUGUAGAGAAGAAUCCCAUUUUCUUCAGCUGUGGAGACCUGACAGAAAGUGUGUCAGUACAAUAAAGACACGAGAUAAAGACACCAAACACAACAGUAUUAUUCAAAUGUCUGACAUUAUGCUCAAGCAAGCCUGCAUUUAUCUGAUCAAAAACACUAGAAAAAAAAUACUGUAAAAUUAUGAAAUAUUAUUACAGUUUAAAAUAGAAUUAAAAAAUUCAAAUUUAAUUUAUUUCUGUGAUCAAAGCAGUAUUUUCAGCAUCAUUACUCCAGUCUUCAGUGUCACAUGAUCUUCAGAAAUCAUAAUAAUAUACUGAUUUACUGCUCCAGAAACAUUUAUUAUUAUUGAUGUUGAAAAGAGUUGUGCUGAGUACAGUUUAUUUUUCUUUUUGAUGAAUAGAAAGUUCAAAAGAAAAUCAAUUAUUUGAAAUAGAAAUCUUUUAUAACAUUAUAUGCAUCUUUACAGUCAACUUUGAUCAAUUCCUUACAGAAUAAAAUUUCUUUAUAAAAAAAAAAAAAUCUUGCUGAUCCCAAACUUUUAAACAAUAGUGCGGUUAAAAAUUAUAUAUAAAAUAUUAAAAAAAUUCUCAAUAAUAAAUGUUUUCACAUUAACCAUGUGGUACUAAUAUAGACAUUAGUGGCUAAUAUAUAAUAUGCAAUAUAUUAGUCAUUAUAUUUGUGUUCUUUGUCUACUUUUGAUCAGUUUAAUGUGUGAAAUUAAAUUUCUUUAAAUAAAAAAAAAAUCUUGCUGAUCCCAAACUUUUAAACAAUAGUGCGGUUAAAAAUUAUAUAUAAAAUAUUAAAAAAAUUCUCAAUAAUAAAUGUUUUCACAUUAACCAUGUGGUACUAAUAUAGACAUUAGUGGCUAAUAUAUAAUAUGCAAUAUAUUAGUCAUUAUAUUUGUGUCUUUGUCACUUUUGAUCAGUUUAAUGUGUCCUUGAUAAUAAAGGUGUUAAUUUCUUUUGAAAAAUAAAUCUUUUGAAUGAUAGUGUGUUUAUUUCUUAUAAGAUAUAAAUAUUAUAUAUAUAUAUAUUUUUUUUUAAGUUCCUUAAAAGCUGUAAAUGAGGGUGUUUAGUAUGUCUUGUGUGUU